rnacentral:rRNA from 1 species
UAAGUGAAGAGUUUGAUCCUGGCUCAGAGUGAACGCUGGCGGUAGGCCUAACACAUGCAAGUCGAACGGCAGCACAGGAGAGCUUGCUCUCUGGGUGGCGAGUGGCGGACGGGUGAGGAAUACAUCGGAAUCUACUCUGUCGUGGGGGAUAACGUAGGGAAACUUACGCUAAUACCGCAUACGACCUACGGGUGAAAGCAGGGGAUCUUCGGACCUUGCGCGAUUGAAUGAGCCGAUGUCGGAUUAGCUAGUUGGCGGGGUAAAGGCCCACCAAGGCGACGAUCCGUAGCUGGUCUGAGAGGAUGAUCAGCCACACUGGAACUGAGACACGGUCCAGACU